AGCCACGUACAUCUUCAUGUGAUCAGCCAGGAUUUUGAUUCUCCUUGCCUUAAAAACAAAAAGCAUUGGAAUUCUUUCAAUACAGAAUACUUUCUGGAAUCACAAGCUGUGAUCAAGAUGGUUCAGGAAGCUGGCAGAGUAACUGUUAAAGAUGGGACUUGUGAACUCUUGAAGCUGCCUCUCCGUUGCCAUGAGUGUCAGCAGCUGCUGCCUUCCAUCCCACAGCUGAAAGAGCACCUCAGGAAGCACUGGGGCAGGUGACAUUUGCCUUGGCGACCGAGUGCAGUGCUAGCAUUUGUCUGCAUUGUCCAUGCUCUGUUCAAUUCUGAACUAAAGCAUACAGCUCUUCAAAACAAAGCUUAUUUAUUCUUGAGCAGCAACAUAUAGAGUGACUCUGGUUGAGGAACUGGGAAUUCGGGCUUGUAUAGUCUGUGCUGAGGGCAGCCUGGGCAGUGUGAACUGUCAGUAAACAGUAUAGUCUGUUCUGAGAGUAGCCUGAGGCAGUGUGAACUGUCAGUGAACAGUAUAGUCUGUGCUGAGGGCAGCCUGGGCAGUGUAUAUUGUUAGCUUUAGGCAAAUUUUACUGAGGCUUCAGCCACUACUUUUGAGAAUUACAGACAUUUAACUAAACUUUAGAGAAUGUUUCCCCAAUGUAUCUUGGAAUAAACUGAUGUUGCAAAAUA